rnacentral:rRNA from 1 species
UGCAAGUCAGGGGCGAGCGGGGAGUGCGUCGCGCAUUCUGCCGGCGACCGGCGCACGGGUGAGUAACACGUACUGCAACCUGCCCCGUCCAGGGGGAGUAAUCGGCGGAAACGACCGUCUAAUACCGCGUAUAUCGAUUCCGGGCAUCCGGGAUUGAGAAAGGGCCUUAGGGUCCGGGACGGGAUGGGCAUGCGGCGCAUUAGGAAGUUGGCGGUGUAACGGACCACCAAUCCGUCGAUGCGUAGGGGUUCUGAGACGGAAGGCCCCCCACACUGGUACUGAGACACGGACCAGACUCCUACGGGAGGCAGCAGUGAGGAAUAUUGGUCAAUGGGCGGGAGCCUGAACCAGCCAAGUCGCGUGAGGGAAGAAGGUACUGAGUAUUGUAAACCUCUUUUGCCAGGGGACAAAGGCGGCCACGGGUGGCCGUAAGAGGGUACCUGGAGAAAAAGCAUCGGCUAACUCCGUG